rnacentral:snoRNA from 1 species
GUAGAUUAUGAUGUUAUACAUCUUUCGGGACUGAAACUUUAUGUAGACAAGUUCUUGCUGAAUCUAU